rnacentral:rRNA from 1 species
UGCCAGCCGCCGCGGUAAUACGAAGGGGGCGAGCGUUGUUCGGAAUCACUGGGCGUAAAGCGUACGUAGGCGGAUUGGUUAGUUAGGGGUGAAAUCCCAAGGCUCAACCUUGGAACUGCCUCCAAUACUGUCAAUCUAGAGAUCGAGAGAGGUGAGUGGAAUUCCUAGUGUAGAGGUGAAAUUCGUAGAUAUUAGGAAGAACACCAGUGGCGAAGGCGGCUCACUGGCUCGAUACUGACGCUGAGGUACGAAAGCGUGGGGAGCAAACAGGAUUAGAUA